AUUAAGGUCUGACCUGCCCAAUGAGGAUUUAAAUGGCCGCAGUAUUUUGACUGUGCAAAGGUAGCAUAAUUAUUAGUUUUUUAAUUGAAAGCUUGUAUGAAGGGUUGGACGAGAUAAAAUCUGUCUUUAUUUAAAUUACAAUAAAAUUUAACUUUUAAGUCAAAAGGCUUAAAUGUAUAUAAAAGACGAGAAGACCCUAUAGAUCUUUAUUUGAUUAACAUUUUGAUAAUUUAGGAUUAUUUUAAUUUAAAGUUUUAAUUAAAUUUUAUUGGGGUAAUAUAAAGAUUUAAUAAAUUCUUUUUAUUUAUUACAUUAAUUUAUGAAUUUAUGAUCCAAUAUUAUUGAUUAUAAGAUUAAGUUACCUUAGGGAUAACAGCGUAAUUUUUUUGGAGAGCUCCUAUCGAUAAAAAAGUUUGCGACCUCGAUGUUGGAUUAAAAAUUAGCUUGGGUGCAGAAGCUCAAGAUUUUGGUCUGUUCGACCAUUAAAUUUUUACAUGAUCUGAGUUCAGACCGGCGUAAGCCAGGUCGGUUUCUAUCUUAAUUUAUUUAAAAUAUUUUAGUACGAAAGGACCAAAUAUUUAAUAUAUUUAUAUUUAUUCGUUGAAUAAUAUU
rnacentral:rRNA from 1 species